rnacentral:rRNA from 1 species
AUGAUUGUCAGGCUUCAACUGCACAACUACUGUCGAGGAUCUUGUCGCCAGCAUCGACUCCAUCCAUCUCUCGGCCGUCAUCGCAGCUUCCUGAACUGUCGAUUUGGAUGUGCUUCAUACGUGGAUAUUCUGUACAUAAAGGUUACUUGGACCAUGUUUCUUCCCCUUGUCUUUUUACUCUGGACCAUGUUUAAUAGGUUGAUUCUUCUAUCUUUAUGCAUGUCUGUCUUAAACUCAUUAUUAGUACUAUUUCAGCUGUCCUUUUCUAGAGAAUUAUCACUUGUCUAUUCAAGCAUUACACUGUACAUUAAUGCAGUCCAUAUAAUAUGGGCAGCUAGGGGCACAAUUUCAUUUCAUUGUAUAUUUUAUUAUUUUCCAUAUGACAAGCUAAUGAAUUUACUUUCAUGCAAUCGACAUGUACAUUCAGAUUAG